GUGGAUUAGAUACCCUGGUAGUCCACGCCGUAAACGAUGAGUGCUAAGUGUUAGAGGGUUUCCGCCCUUUAGUGCUGCAGCUAACGCAUUAAGCACUCCGCCUGGGGAGUACGGUCGCAAGACUGAAACUCAAAGGAAUUGACGGGGGCCCGCACAAGCGGUGGAGCAUGUGGUUUAAUUCGAAGCAACGCGAAGAACCUUACCAGGUCUUGACAUCCUCUGACAACUCUAGAGAUAGAGCGUUCCCCUUCGGGGGACAGAGUGACAGGUGGUGCACGGUCGUCGCCAACU
rnacentral:rRNA from 1 species